GAUUGGUCAGUAUGGUUUAUUUCCUCCAGCCAUAUUCAGCUGCAGGGGUGUAUGUUUGGAGUGAAUUUAACCAGGGAGGGGUUUUGCCAAGAUAGCCAAACAAAGCAGGAGAAGGGCAAGGGAUAGAGGGUACCUGUGUAUGCAAGGGAGUGGUAUAAUAUACUGUGGAAUUCUAACCGGGUAAGGAGGGGAGGACAUGAAGUGGCUAAGAGAUAGUGAAAAGAUGGGAGAAGCAAUGGAUGGAAGGUCCUGGUGGGAUCAGAAGCUGCUGGAGUUUGGGUAUGUGAGAGACUGAACCAUGAAGAUAGUGGGUUAUUGUUGGACAGUGGGAGCUAAUUGAUAUUGUGAAAGCAUGAUCAUGGGAUGAGUGGGUAAAGGACAAGAUCAGUGGAAGUGAGAAAUUUAAAGAACUGAGACAAGGAAUUCAGAGAGAUACGGUAUGGAAAGAUCAUCUUUGUGAAAUCACUGAGAGUUAAGAUAGUAGUGUAGAAGGUCACAGUAAGCCAGGUAUUGGGUAAUAGAAUUUUUAUAGGAUAUUCGAUGUAAGGUUUUGUGUUUUUUUAGGGAAUAAGGAGGGAGACUGAUUUGGAAACAUCUGUGAGGAGCAAAGAGGACACUUACUCACCCCCAGGUCCAGUGGUAUGAGAGGUAUGGGGAAGGUAACUUACACCACUUUAGGGCCCCAGAGGCCAGUGUGGCCCCAGAGGAGAACCGGCUUUUAAUUAGAGCAAGAAGUUGAAGGGAAUAUUCAAAGAAGAUGCUGAAAAUGUAGGGAAAGCGCUUCAAAGUUUGGAGAGGUGGAUGACACAUGGAGACGGAACUAGAGAUAUGCAGAACAGUGUGGGGAUUAGAAUGUGGGAGAUGAGCCACCAUGCCUAGCCUUGAACCACAUUUUUUUUUCCUUUUUUUUUUUUUUAAGAGACAAGGUCACACUCUCUUGCCCAGGCUGGAGUGCAGUGGCAUAAUCCUAGCUCACUUCAGCCUCAACCUCCCAGGCUCAAGUGAUCCUCCCUCUUCAGCCUC
rnacentral:lncRNA from 1 species